UCUACCGAUCCUAUGUGAGAGGAUGUUGCUGCUGCUAUUAUUUAUCUUUUGCUGAAGUUUCGUCUGCGAUGCUUCUAGAACCUUCUAUACUGAUGCUGAUGGGAACGUUCAAGAUACCUCCGGCACGUGCGACGUCUUAUCUUGGCCGCUGUUUCGUCUGUCCGGCUAUCUUAAUGAUGCCAUGUCUUAAUCUCGUAGUUUCCCACCGACACUACAUGAGCAAAUGUCCCCUGACCGUCGCGCAGAAUGUCGUGGUGGGCGGUCGCGCAUGCAACGCAGUGCGCGCCUGCGGUUGUCCCAUUGAUCCGCCGAUUUCUUGAUCGUGCAGCACGCGUUGUUCGUGCUCUUCAAUAAAGUCUUCCUCCUCUGAGUAUUUGUGUGUGGGCUUCGUUUACUAUUGUUGAGGGUGGUGUGAAGUGGAUAAGUUUCGCGUACGUUCGUUUUAUACGCAUUCCGGUUUUCUUGAAUUAUGAACACUGAGGCGACUAUGUCUUUGGCAUCUGAUCCAGUUGUAGAACGCAAGAAGAAGGAGAGGGAGAGAAAAUCACGUAAGAGAUACGUGAAUGGUUCACGAAGACGAUACAGAUGACUGUGCGAAGAUUCGCUUUCCUGAAGAGAAGUCCUGGAUGAUCAUUUGCGUCAUCAUUCUUCUAGUCAGGGAAGAAUUUCCCCUGUUGUACGUUCUUGGUGUAUGGACAAGUUUCGCGAAAUGUAUCCUGACGUUCCAUGUGUUGAUUUUGAUUUUGUUUGACAAUAAUAUUUUGUUUAUCUAUAUAUC